GGGGGUGUGGCUCAGUGGUAGAGUGCAUGCUUAGCAUGUAUAAGACCCUGGGUUCAAUCCCAGUACCCUCA
rnacentral:tRNA from 2 species